UACGUAGGGGGCGAGCGUUGUCCGGAUUUAUUGGGCGUAAAGAGCGUGUAGGCGGCUUGGUAGGUCUGCUGUGAAAACUCGGGGCUCAACCCCGAGACGUCGGUGGAAACCACCUGGCUAGAGUCCGGAAGAGGAGAGUGGAAUUCCUGGUGUAGCGGUGAAAUGCGCAGAUAUCAGGAGGAACACCUAUUGCGAAGGCAGCUCGCUGGGACGUAACUGACGCUGAGACGCGAAAGCGUGGGGAGCAAACAGG
rnacentral:rRNA from 1 species